rnacentral:rRNA from 1 species
CCUUGACAUCCAGAGAACUUAGCAGAGAUGCUUUGGUGCCUUCGGGAACUCUGAGACAGGUGCUGCAUGGCUGUCGUCAGCUCGUGUUGUGAAAUGUUGGGGUUAAAGUCCGCAACGAGCGCAACCCUUAUCCUUUGUUGCCAGCGGUUCGGCCGGGAACUCAAAGGAGACUGCCGGUGAUAAACCGGAGGAAGGUGGGGAUGACGUCAAGUCAUCAUGGCCCUUACGGCCAGGGCUACACACGUGCUACAAUGGCGCAUACAAAGAGAAGCGACCUCGCGAGAGCAAGCGGACCUCAUAAAGUGCGUCGUAGUCCGGAUUGGAGUCUGUAACUCGACUCCAUGAAGUCGGAAUCGCUAGUAAUCGUAGAUCAGAAUGCUACGGUGAAUACGUUCCCGGGCCUUGUACACACCGCCCGUCACACCAUGGGAGUGGGUUGCAAAAGAAGUAGGUAGCUUAACCUUCGGGAGGGCGCUUACCACUUUGUGAUUCAUGACUGGGGUGAAGUCGUAACAAGGUAGGCGUAGCGAG